AGCCGGGGAGUCAGCGGUUCCCUGUACCAGCAUCGCUAUAGCUGGGGUGAUAUCCUGCAGAGGGUUUUGGAAGUCGGAGCUGCCCUUUGUAAGUGGCGUUGAGAUCUGGGUCUUGCGCAACGGAUGCCUACGAACCGUGUCAGGUCAGGAAUGAAGCAGCACUAAGAAGGAUUUUCCGUGUGCCGUGAGGGUGCCUGGGUUGAGUUAACUGCAAAGGUAACGGCCGGUUUUGCGGAUUCGAAGCAGGAU
rnacentral:SRP_RNA from 1 species